AUUGAACGCUGGCGGCAGGCCUAACACAUGCAAGUCGAACGAGUGGCGGACGGGUGAGCAAUGUCUGGGAAACUGCCUGAUGGAGGGGGAUAACUACUGGAAACGGUAGCUAAUACCGCAUACCAUCAGAUGUGCCCAGAUGGGAUUAGCUUGUUGGUGGGGUAACGGCUCACGAAGGCGACGAUCCCUAGCUGGUCUGCGAGGAUGACCAUCCACACUGGGACGGAGACACGGUCCAGACGCAUACGGGAAGCAGCAGUGGGGAAUAUUGCACAAUGGGCGCAAGCCAGAUGCAGCGAUGCCGCGUGUAUGAAGAAGGCCUUCGGGUUGUAAGGUGCUUUCAGCGGGGAGGCGUUACCCGCAGAAGAAGCACCGGCUAACUCCGUGCCAGCCGCCGCGGUAAUUC
rnacentral:rRNA from 1 species